CGAGCGGACUUGUUUGGAGCUUGCUUCCAGACAGGUUAGCGGCGGACGGGUGAGUAACACGUAGGCAACCUGCCUCUCAGACCGGGAUAACAUAGGGAAACUUAUGCUAAUACCGGAUAGGUUUUCGGAUCGCAUGAUCCGAAAAGAAAAGGCGGCUUUUCGCUGUCACGGGGAAAUGGGCCGGCGGCGCAUUACCUAGUUGGGGGGGUAACGGCCCACCAAGGCAACAAUGCGUACCCAACCUGAAAGGGUGACCGGCCACACGGGGACUGAAACACGGCCCAAACUCCUACGGGAGGCAGCAGUAGGGAAUUUUCCACAAGGGACAAAAGUCUGAUGGAGCAACGCCCCGUGAACAAUGAAGGUCUUCGGAUUGUAAAGUUCUGUUGUCAGGGACAAACAAUUACCGUUUGAACAAGGCGGUACCUUGACGGUACCUGACAAGAAAGCCACGGCUAACUACUUGCCAGCAGCCGCGGUAAUACGUAGGUGGCAAGCGUUGUCCGGAAUUAUUGGGCGUAAAGCGCGCGCAGGCGGCUAUGUAAUUCUGGUGUUAAAGCCCGGGGCUCAACCCCGGUACGCAUCGGAAACUGUGUAGCUUGAGUGCAGAAAAGGAAAGCGGUAUUCCACGUGUACCGGUGAAAUGCGUAAAGAUGUGAAGGACCACCAUUGCGAAGGCGGCUUUUCUGGUCUGUAACUG
rnacentral:rRNA from 1 species